AAACAACUUGGUUACUCCCUUUCUUCUUCCCUGAGCAUGAAAAGGAAAAAAGAAAAAAGAUUCAAUUUUAUCCAAGGAUUUCAACUCAGAAUUGGGUUGAUUUGAAGAAGAAGGGGAAGAGACAAAUCCGAAGCAUGGUUUGACAAGGAAUGUGAAGGGACAAGGAAAACUGAGUUUUGGAGAGAAGUUUUCUCACGUGCAAAGAAAAGUCUCCGUUAAAAAUUAGACGAUUGUUUGGAAGUGCACCAAAAUUGCACCAAUUCUUGAAACAUGGAGGACUAUUAGUGUUCCAUGUUAAAAGGCAAGGAUUACUUUGAUUCUUAACUCAAAGAUAAAGGACAAUUUUGAUCCUUUUCCAUAACAACUAGUAUAACAUAGCUCUAACAGGAAUUUUGCGCUUAUAUGGUGAACUGAGAAAAGUAGAUUUGUUGCAUCCUCUUUUUUGAUUAUUUUAUCUUGUGUUUGACUAAAUUUUUAUUCUGAAAUCAUCAAUUAUGAAAUUAGUUAUAUUGUAAUUGUGAUACUAUUUUUAUACAACCUUUAAUGCAGAAUGAUAAUUUUAGAGUUA